UUUGAUCCUGGCUCAGAACGAACGCUGGCGGCAUGCCUAACACAUGCAAGUCGAACGAGACCUUCGGGUCUAGUGGCGCACGGGUGCGUAACGCGUGGGAAUCUGCCCUUGGGUCCGGAAUAACAGUGAGAAAUUACUGCUAAUACCGGAUGAUGACGUAAGUCCAAAGAUUUAUCGCCCAGGGAUGAGCCCGCGUAAGAUUAGCUAGUUGGUGGGGUAAAGGCCUACCAAGGCGACGAUCUUUAGCUGGUCUGAGAGGAUGAUCAGCCACACUGGGACUGAGACACGGCCCAGACUCCUACGGGAGGCAGCAGUGGGGAAUAUUGGACAAUGGGCGAAAGCCUGAUCCAGCAAUGCCGCGUGAGUGAUGAAGGCCUUAGGGUUGUAAAGCUCUUUUACCCGGGAUGAUAAU
rnacentral:rRNA from 1 species